UACAUAUGGGGCAAGCGUUGUUCGGAAUUACUGGGCAUAAAGCGUGUGUAGGCGGGCCCGUAAGUGUCUUGUGAAAUCCCACGGCUCAACCGUGGAACUGCUGGGCAUACUGCGGGUCUUGGGCCAACUAGGGGCAGCCGGAACAAGCGGUGGAGCGGUGAAAUGCGUAGAUAUCGCUUGGAACGCCGAAGGUGAAAACAGGCUGCUGGGGUUGCGCCGACGCUGAGACACGAAAGCCAGGGGAGCAAACGGG
rnacentral:rRNA from 1 species